rnacentral:other from 1 species
GCGGGGCUGCGUGGUUCGUGAGGAGUUUCACUUCCCCGGGGCCUUAUCGAUCUCCUAGGGAGCUGUCCCUGACCGGGCUCGUGGGUCCGGACAAACGGCGCCCACCUACGUUGUAGGUUCCCGGGAUCGAUACAUCCCACGGCCGAGGCGGCUCCGCA